rnacentral:rRNA from 1 species
GUGGGGAAUUUUGGACAAUGGGCGAAAGCCUGAUCCAGCCAUGCCGCGUGCAGGAUGAAGGCCUUCGGGUUGUAAACUGCUUUUGUACGGAACGAAAAGACUCCUUCUAAUAAAGGGGGUCCAUGACGGUACCGUAAGAAUAAGCACCGGCUAACUACGUGCCAGCAGCCGCGGUAAUACGUAGGGUGCAAGCGUUAAUCGGAAUUACUGGGCGUAAAGCGUGCGCAGGCGGUUAUAUAAGACAGAUGUUAAAUCCCCGGGCUCAACCUGGGAACUGCAUUUGUGACUGUAUAGCUAGAGUACGGUAGAGGGGGAUGGAAUUCCGCGUGUAGCAGUGAAAUGCGUAGAUAUGCGGAGGAACACCGAUGGCGAAGGCAAUCCCCUGGACCUGUACUGACGCUCAUGCACGAAAGCGUGGGGAGCAAACAGGAUUAGAUACCCUAGUAGUCC